AUUCCAGUUCGCAACAGUGAUUGUACCACCGUUGGAUAGGAGUUCAUUAUGCGCAGCACCUGGCCCUCGAAUUCAAGUCUCACCGCGCUGAGAUCAUUGGAAACCCGAUGCAUUUCGUUAAAGAAAUUCUUUUGCUGAUCCUGCACCACCAGCUUUUCCUGAUUUGCGUGACGAACUGAAAGGGAAAAUGAGUUUUGUUUAUUUGGCUAUGCAUUUAACACUUCACGUAGAACACAAUGAAUCAAAGGCCUUUGCUGCAUCGAACUGAGAAGCUUUUCAUUGGAGCGACCAGUCCGUGGAGAAGCCCCCGAUGCGGGACUCCUCCAUCCGCCCGUUAAUCAUCUGCAACUGGACGUCUUGGUUGUUUACCCGACAUAUUGCUCCCCUCGCAGAUGUGAUUCAUCCAGAAUAAUAAAAUUGGUGUAUCUAUGUACCUACACUGAUAACAAAAUUGUAA